rnacentral:rRNA from 1 species
GAUGAACGCUAGCGAUAGGCUUAACACAUGCAAGUCGAGGGGCAGCAUGGUCUUAGCUUGCUAAGACUGAUGGCGACCGGCGCACGGGUGCGUAACGCGUAUGCAACUUGCCUCACAGAGGGGGAUAACCCGUCGAAAGACGGACUAAUACCGCGUACACUCCAUCUUGGGCAUCCAAGGUAGAGGAAAUGAAAUUCGCUGUGAGAUAGGCAUGCGUCCCAUUAGCUAGUUGGUGAGGUAACGGCUCACCAAGGCGACGAUGGGUAGGGGAGCUGAGAGGGUGAACCCCCACACUGGUACUGAGACACGGACCAGACUCCUACGGGAGGCAGCAGUGAGGAAUAUUAGUCAAUGGGCGAGAGCCUGAACCAGCCAAGUCGCGUGAAGGAUGACUGUCUUAUGGAUUGUAAACUUCUUUUAUACGGGAAUAACAAGAGUCACGUGUGACUCCCUGCAUGUACCGUAUGAAUAAGCAUCGGCUAACUCCGUG